rnacentral:misc_RNA from 1 species
CGUGCUUAACACGACAUUGCCGUUUCCAACUUGUCCCUACGUGCUACAUAGUGACCUAUCUAAUUACAGAUUAAACUUACUUUUGUCAGCAUCUGAUGCUUGAGCAAUCAUCUUCGCAUCUCACAGCGAUGUCUACUGUCAAUCCCCAAUCCUUUCUGGGAAUCUAUCUCCAUUUACUGCUAAUCGGAUAUUACUCAUCGAAGCAUGUUGAGGCAUCUGCUUGUCCCUCUGGUUUCAUUCAACUCAAUGCCACCUGCUACUACUUCAGCCAAAGACCUGCGGCUCGAGGGACUGCGCAAGAUCUAUGCUCAUCCGUUGGCGCAACCCUUGCAUCACCGUCUACUGCCGAGGAAGACUCCAUCCUGGUCGGGUACCUGAACUCGUUAGGCGGAGGCUUCAAUUACUGGAUCGGCAUUACACAACAUAAUGCCCUGCACUUUGAGUGGGUGGACGGGUCACCACUGAAUGAAAGUUUCUGGGGAACAGCGUUUGAUCCACACGAUGAGAGGACAAACUGUAUCAGGAUGGAUGCUACGCUUGGUUUCGGCUGGUACGACAAAAGCUGCGGAUCAGGCUAUUACAAUUUUAUAUGUGAAGCUCCUUUCGAGAAUGCACCAGAUGGAGAUUGUUCUAUGUUGUUCCCGCUUGGGCCAGUGCAGUUCGGCGAUUCGUGUUACUUUGUCUGGAACCAGGCGUCAAAGCCUGAGACGUACCAAGACACCCGAGACAUGUGCAGUAAUACUGGCACAGACAUGUUGACAUUGAACACUGAAGCUGAAAGAUUGUUCAUCGUAGAACAAGUCAAAGCACAAAAUUAUACAGCUAUCUGGUUGGGUUUGUAGCAACCGGACUACGGAAAUUACAAGUGGAUGGACGGCGAAGAUUUCAACUACACCAAUUAUGUCCCUUCGCCUUUUUACGAGGGAUCGGAUUGUUUUAGGAUGAAUGCUGCAGAUGGAUAUAAGUGGACAGAUGAUCUUUGUACCAGCAAAAAUCACUUUAUAUGUGAAAAAGACAUAGGUGUUACGCUCGAAGAGGAAAUAAAGAUAAGAUCAUUUAUUGUCGGGAGAAAAGGAAACGUCCCAAUUGCUCAAAACAUUUUUUCC